AGAGUCUAUGAAAAAAGAAAACAAAGUGGGCCUGCGCAAGCAUCAGAAAAUAGCGCGGGCUUUACCCUCACAGUGUUAAGAGGAGGUGUGUUGGAUGCUGUGUGCCCCUGGGAGGUGUGGGGACUACCAGCCCUACUGCUGCCACGCCUUCAGGCUACACUCAGGCCAUCCGGAAGUAGUGAGGCGGGUGACCGGGACGCGAACACCUGUGAUGACGUGCGGGGUUCUCAGAAGACCUACUGUUGUCUAUGAGGGAUUCAGGAUGCGGCUCCGAAUGGCCACCUAACCUCUACUGGACGACCCUCGGGCGGCGCAUGUCCCCUGUGAAGGUCACGUGGCCCCACCGAGGAAGGAGGAGCCUCGGAAAUUGAGGAAAGCGCCGGCGAGGAGGUGAGACGCGAGACAGGUGCAGGAGAGAGAGAGAGAGAGAGAGAGAGAGAGAGAGAGAGAGAGAGAGAGAGAGAGAGAGAGAGAGAGAGCUGUGAUAAUGUGUAAUGAGUGAGCGAGUCAGUGUUGUAUAUUUCCAGAAGUGUAAAGUUUUAGAGAGAGAGAGAGAGAGAGAGAGAGUAGGUGGUGGGCGUGGUGAGGUAACAUAUGGUACGGUAAUUGAUCUAUAAAAACACGUACACAUGAAAUGGAUUCGUUGAUAGUAAUGAUGAUGAAAAGCAGAACAAAUAGUGAUAAUGAUCUCACGUGAUGUUUUUAGCUCCCGUGAAUUAUUGUAGCUUUAACAAUUGAAAGUGUGACGUGUACCAGUCUGUUGAUUUUGUCUUGGCUGUCUAGGAGUGUUGUCUUAACCCCUUCAGUACUGUGACGCAUUUUCUAUCGUGAGUUUUGGGUAUAAUUGGACGAUUUUAUUUACAUGAGGAAGGAUCUGUUGAGGUCAGAAGAUUAGUGGCCAGAGUCUUCACUAUUUUAAUCCCCAGAUAAAUUUCUGAAACAGUAUAAAAUCACUAAAUAGUAAGCAGAAAGGAUAUGAAAACGCGUCCUGGUACUGAAGGGGUUAAGGACUUGCUGUGAACGGUCGAAUAAACAAAAGACAUUA